rnacentral:rRNA from 1 species
AGUGAACGCUGGCGGUAGGCCUAACACAUGCAAGUCGAACGGCAGCACAGUAAGAGCUUGCUCUUACGGGUGGCGAGUGGCGGACGGGGCAGGAAUACAUCGGAAUCUACUUUUUCGUGGGGGCUAACGUAGGGAAACUUACGCUAAUACCGCAUACGACCUACGGGUGAAAGCAGGGGAUCUUCGGACCUUGCGCGAUUGAAUGAGCCGAUGUCGGAUUAGCUAGUUGGCGGGGUAAAGGCCCAGCAAGGCGACGAUCCGUAGCUGGUCUGAGAGGAUGAUCAGCCACACUGGAACUGAGACACGGUCCAGACUCCUACGGGAGGCAGCAGUGGGGACUAUUGGACAAUGGGCGAAAGCCUGAUCCAGCCAUACCGCGUGGGUGAAGAAGGCCUUCGGGUUGUAAAGCCCUUUUGUUGGGAAAGAAAAGCAGCAGGUUAAUACCCCGCUGUUCUGACGGUACCCAAAGAAUAAGCACCGGCUAACUUCGUG